CGUCGGAUCAAACCAUGAAACCAUAGUACGAAACAGUGUCCCUACCGGGAUGCCAGCGCCUGUAGUUUUGAUCGCCCACCGAGGGCAUUCCUGGAAUUUUGCUAUGAGGGAUAAAAGCUCAACGCCCAUAGGGUUUCUCCCCAAUCGGCUUCCUCUCCGCCGCCCCUCCCCUUCCACCCUAGGCGCCGUGCACCAUCGUGCAACGGCGAGCCCGCCCUCCUAUCCCCCUCUCCUCUCCAUGGUCCUCGGCAGAGGCAGCACAAGCGACCGCCGCACCACGCAAGAGAGCGUCCUCUCAGGCCACAUCGGGGAGGACCCGGACGUCGUGUUGUGGAUCGUGUGCUGCCAAGACGGUCGUCCUUGGCCACCUGUGCGACGACCUGCGUGUCGCCGCUGUCACCAUCGGCGCAGGGCCAAAAGGAGACGGCCGCACGCCAGCAUCACCAGGAGGAGCAACAGGGAGUAGCGACGGCCACCGAGAUGGCCGUCCACGUCGCCAUUGUCGUCGUCCUUCAUGUGCUCUUCCUCUUGCUCUCGCCUGCCCCUCCUAGCUAUCUGCUGUGUACAUGUUCCUGAUUUGUUCAUCAUCUGGCAGCUGAAUCGGCGAGCUAUGACACGUUCGAUGUGCACAUUAAUUGCUGUCACCGAAGAGACACGAUCUGUAGUUGCUCCUCCUCUAUGUUGUGUUGUUGCUGCCUCUUAAAGUGCUGCUCCUUCUCGCCCAGCUCCUCCGCCUUGUGCUCUCCUCCUCAAGUUGCCAGCCACCCUCGAUCUACUGCUCCUCCUAUCACCACACCUCCCCAACCUCCUCGACUAGUUGAAGAGGUGCAAAAUAGAAUCAUGCGUGAUAAUAGAGAGAAGGAUGCUGCUCUUCUCUCAUAGACCACAUGAUUCCUGCCUUUUGUUGAUUGAUUUUGCCGACCCAGAACGAUGCUUUGUAUCAUGUAAGAUACAUAGUGGGAGAAACCCAGCCUCCUUGGAGUUUAGAGCUUUCUCGCCGUUGGAUCUUUCCUCCGAUGCGUUUUCGACCAUCCGAUCACGAGAUGGAGGGAUCUGGGAAGUCGGAUCAAACCAUGAAACUAUAGAUCGAAACAGUGUCCAUACAAGGAUGCCACCGCCUGUAGUUUUGAUCGCCCACCGAGGGCAUUCCUGGAAUUUCGCUUUGAGGGAUAAAAGCGCAACGCCCAUAGGGUUUCUCCCCAAUCAGCUUCCUCUCCGCUUCCUGUUUCACGCGAGGAGAGCCGCCGCCGCCGCCCCCGCCCCCUCCCCUUCCACCCUAGGCGCCGUGCACCAUCGUGCAAUGGCGAGCCCGCCCUCCCACCCCCCUCUCCUCUCCAUGGUCCUCGGCAGAGGCAACAUGAGCGACCGCCGCACCACGCAAGAGAGCGCCCUCUCAGGCCACAUCGGGGAGGACCCGGACGUCGUGUUGUGGAGCGUGUGCUGCCAAGACGCUCGUCCUUGGCCACCUGUGCGAUGACCUGCGCGUCGCCGCUGUGACCACCGGCACAGGGCCAAAAGGAGAUGGCCGCGUGCCAGCAUCACCGGGAGGAGCAACAGGGAGUAGCGACGGCCACCGAGAUGGCCGUCCACGUCACCAUUGUCGUCGUCCUUCAUGUGCUCUUCCUCUUGCUCUUGCCUGCCCCUCCUAGCUAUCUGUUGUGUGCAUGUUCCUAAUUUGUUCAUCAUCUGGCAGCUGAAUCGGCGAGCUAUUACACGUUCGAUGUGCACAUUAAUUGCUGUCACCGAAGAGGUUCAUAUGGAUGUGGUUAUGGUUUGUCAAUUUUUGCUAGGUUCUUUGUUGCUGAUUGAUGGCCGGUGGUGCUCCUCUGCUUGGAAUAGACACGAUCUGUAGUUGCUCCUCCUCUAGGUUGUGUUGUUGCUGCCUCCUAAAGUGCUGCUCCUUCUCGCCCAGCUCCUCCACCUUGGGCUCUCCUCCUCAAGUUGCCAGCCACCCUCGAUCUACUGCUCCUCCCAUCACCACACCUCCCCAACCUCCUCGACUAGUUGAAGAGGUGCAAAAUAGAAUCAUGCGUGAUAAUAGAGAGAAGGAUCCUGCUCUUCUCUCGAAGACCACAUGAUUCCUGCCUUUUGUUGAUUGAUUUUGCCGACUCAGAACGAUGCUUUGUAUGCUUUAUAGUAUCCAUCGCCUUUGCCAAGUCAUUUGUCCUUCGAGUUGUAUUUGGAACAUUGCCAUCUCUAGCCGACCUGCGCAAGCAGAAAGCUGAGCAGGAGCAGCUCGGGGAUGAAGCCAAGGUUUAAAAUGCCGAAUCUCCCAAUAGUGAUGCAUGAUGACAAAGUUGUGUACUAAGCAGCAAAAUGAGGCCAAGAGCCUGAUGGCGCAUCGUCCAAGAACCAGGCAAAACACCACUGUCAAUGUGAGUAACGACGAGCGAAUGGGCGGCAGCGUCGCGCACAAUGGCAUGAUGAUCAGAUCGGCAACGUGACGAUUGUUGUGUGGGAUUCUAUGUCAAUCUUUUCUCUGGAACUUUUGUUUUGUCGAUUCAAAUUAUUUAAGAAAUUGUGAAAUUUUGUGUCUUCUGUAAGUAAAUGUCAGAGUCUUUUGUAUAUUAAGUAAUUCUCAGAAGGUUGCCAACGAACUUAUUAUUUUAGUGUUAUUCUAAAUCUUGAAACUUUUGGUGCAUUAUAUGCUACAUAUUAUAUGAAAUGCAUCAAUGGAAUGUAUUGAAUCUUCG